GAGAGCGGGAUCCAGAGUACCACGAAACACGAGGAAUUUUGUGGGAAGAAGCGGGGACCACCCCGUAAGGCUAAAUACUCCCUGGUGACCGAUAGAGGAGAGUACUGUGAAGGAAAGGUGAAAAGGACCCCGGGAGGGGAGUGAAAGAGAACCUGAAAUCCUGUGCCUACAAGCUGCGGGAGCACGAAAAAGUGUGACCGCGUACUUUUUGUAGAACGGUCCGGCGAGCUGCGGAGUCAGGAAAGGUUAAGCGCUUAAGGCGCGGAGCCGGAGGGAAACCGAGUCUGAAAAGGGCGGAGAGUUCUGAUUACGCAGGCCCGAAACCGGGUGACCUAUCCAUGUCCAGGAUGAAGUGGCCGUAAAAGGCCAUGGAGGUCCGAACCCACGUCCGUUGAAAAGGGCGGGGAUGAGGUGUGGAUAGCGGAGAAAUUCCAAUCGAACCCGGAGAUAGCUGGUUCUCCCCGAAAUAGCUUUAGGGCUAGCCUCAUACCAAAUCUCGUGGAGGUAGGGCACUGAAUACCCGAGGGGGCUGCGAGGCUUACUGAAGGUUAUCAAACCGUGAAUGCCAUAGAGAAGAAGGAUGGGAGUCAGCCCGUGUGAGAUAAGUCGCACGGACAAAAGGGAAACAGCCCAGACCGCCGGCCAAGGCCCCAAAGAGCAUGUUAAGUGGAAAAGGAUGUGGGAUCUCUAAGACAGCUAGGAUGUUGGCUCAGAAGCAGCCACGCAUUCAAAGAGUGCGUAAUAGCUCACUAGCCGAGAGGCCCCGCGCCGAAAAUACACGGGGCUGAAACAUGCCGCCGAAGCCGCGGAGUAUGAGUAUACCGAGGUAUAUUCAGGACUGGUAGGGGAGCGUCGGGUACACGAAGAAGCCGUACCGGAAGGAGCGGUGGAGAGUACCGGAGAGAGAAUGCCGGAAUGAGUAGCGAGAUGGAUGUGGGAAUCAUCCAGGCCGAAUGUCCGAGGGUUCCAGGGUAAAGCUGAUCUUCCCUGGGUAAGCCGGGACCUAAGCCGAGGCGGAGACGCGUAGGCGAUGGACAACAGGUGGAAAAUCCUGUGCUCCGGAAGUACAGAAAUGUGGGGACGCGGAAAGGAAGUACCAGCCCUGAAAGGAAACAGGGUGCAAGCAUAAGGCCGGCCGGGAAGGCAAAACCGCCCGGGGAAAGGCAGUAUGUGAUGCGGAGCGAAAAAUAGUAGCGAAGGGUAUGGAGAGGCCGCCGAGAAAAGCCACUAUAGAUACUAACGGACCCGUACCGCAGACCGACACAGGUAGACAGGUCGAGGAGACCAAGGCCGACGGGAGAAGCAUUGUUAAGGAACUCGGCAAAAUGACCCCGUAACUUAGGGAGAAGGGGUGCCAUCGUAAAAGGUGGCCGCAGAAAAGAGGCCCAAGCAACUGUUUAGCAAAAACACAGCUUUAUGCGAAACCGAAAGGUGAAGUAUAUGAGGUGACGCCUGCCCGGUGCUGGAAGGUUAAGAGGAGAGGUCAGCGGCAACGCGAAGCUUUGAAUUUAAGCCCCAGUAAACGGCGGCCGUAACUAUAACGGUCCUAAGGUAGCGAAAUUCCUUGUCGGGUAAGUUCCGACC
rnacentral:rRNA from 1 species